CUUACACGUUUUGCACAUGUCCCAAAGGCUUGAUUGCCUGGUUUUCUAACUGAUGGAAGAUCAGAAACAACAAGUAAAAGAGAGGGGGGUGACCACCAAGGUGGACCAGAAGAGAGCAGUCAGGUGAUGGUACAAGAAGGGACAGAAUCUAUUUCAUCCCCUUUCGUCUUCCCCAACAUAGGAACUGGCGAAAGCGUGGUUGAUGUAAACACCCCCAGACACAUGCCCUUCAGGGCAUGACUGCAUUCGGGGACUAACCAAGCACAGCACAUACGCAGUAAGCUUCCCAUCGCUUUCUUAGCCUGUGUCCAAAGCAGACAUCAAAAGUCAAUCUUGAUCCUCUCAAUCAGUGCUAGUACCAGACAUCCUUGUAUUGGCUUCAGCAUCUUUUUCUCGGUCUUCCUCAGGCACUGCCUACCAAGGUUUUGAACUUAAUCCAUGAACUGACAUUCCUUCAUGCUCUCCGAGGAAUGACUGUUUAAAAGGAAAGGAACACGAGCAGCUGCAUUUGAGAGAGGCCUUUUCUACUGUUGGGAGAGAGGGUUAAAAAAAAGAUUUGACUCACUGAAGGACGCAUAGGAUUUCAUCAAGCGAGAAAGUUGAGCAGAGCCAUCCCCGAAGUUAUUUUUCUCUUCCUAAAAUUAUUAGGAAGAUGGAGCAUGGCAAAUCGAUCUGAGGCACACUCACUGGCUGUUAAUUUGGGGUAGAAUCAAUUAUUUGGGGCCAAGGCUUCCAUUGUAGCUAAAGGCAUGGUAAACAUGCCCGGAGACUUCUGAGGCAGAUGACAGCCUCCCGUGUUGCAAGGAUCCUAUUUGGGGCUUUUGAGGCAUGAGAUAAAGGAAUGCCAUUUGUUAAGGUUCCCUGGAAUUCACAUAAUCCUUACAAAACAAUAUUUUGAAGAAUUGAGUCGGAGGAAUGCAACCCGUAUGUUUCUGAUUCAUGUCGAGUUUAUGAGGGUUUAGAAAUUAAAGGAAGAGGUGCUAGGCAAGAUGUAUGGUCCAAUUUCACAAAACGCAAAACAUUUGAAACAGAGCCUGUUUGUCCUUUCCUGGUGUUUAACCUAAAGCUCAGGGACUUGCUGGCCUAUUCAUAAACCUUUCUAAUCUGCUCUGGGCUUUUAUAGCCCAGGCGGGGAUCAGGAUGUGCUUCUCUGGCGGUGUCUGCACAGUAAAUAGGGGCAGGCUCCAAAUUGUCAAUUGCAGCCCAUGUUCAUUUCUCAUCAGUGGUUUGGCCCCCAGUGUCUUCAGGGGAUGAGUGAUCAGGCCAGACCUCAGCAGUCAGUUCUCCCACCCCUCAAUCGAAUGUGUAGUAAUUCACUUAAAGGGCCAGAGCAUCAUGCCUCUGUGUGUAGGACAUUUCAGAGGCAAAGCAAGUGGUCUUCCUACGUGGGGCUUCUCUGCCUCCCAUGCUUUCCCUUCAAAUUUAAAUAUUUAAUUUAAGAAAGUAUUUGAACCCCUUCAGUGUGCAUUUGGGAUCCAGAAGUGCAUGCUAUAGGCUGUGUCUCUCAAUUAAUAGGAAAGAGAGACAGAGAAUAGAUCAUUAUAACACAGUGGGAUGCAUGUUAUAUGAGAGGAAAUUCUUGCUCUUAUGGGAGAACACAGGUGGCUCCCCUGAUGUAGUUUGGGAUUCUGGAAUGGGGACAGGUCACCAGAUGUCAGUAAUGGUCUGUGAACUGGGUUUUGAAGCAUGUGUAGGAGUUCACCAGAAGGAUAAAUAAUUGUAAGAGAAAUAAAAGAGAGAUGGGAGAGGUAGCAGUCUUGGUAGGAAGUGCCACGUAGGUAAAGCACUGAGGCCUAAGGAAGUAUGAGAUGCUUGAAGGUACUGCUGGGCAGACAGUGUUGACCAGAUCAUGCAGCACCUUUCAUGGGCCACCUGGGGCAAUGAAAUGGAGACCCUUUGAGUUCCAAGUGGCUAGUGGGGCCCAAUAUGUGAAGGAUCCUCAAAGGCUCAGAGGCUGAAGUGGGACCUAAAUAUAGAUUCAGGGAGUUCCCAUUAUGGCUCAGUGGGUAAAGAACCUGACUAGUAUCCAUGGAUGCAGGUUGGAUCCCUGGCCUGCCUCAGUGGGCUAAGGAUCUGGCAUUGCCAUGAGCUGUGAUGUAGGUCGCCGAUGUAGCUCAGAUCCCACAGUUGCUCUGCCGGCCUACACCAUAGCCACAGCAAUGUGGGAUCCGAGCUACAUCUGCAAUCCACAUCACAGCUCAUGGCAACACCGGAUCCUUAACCCACGGAGCAAGGCCAGGGAUCAAACCCAUGUCUUCAUGGAUUCUAGUCAGGUUCGUUACUGCUGAACCACGACAGGAACUCCAAUUAAAGAUUUUAAAAUGCCACCACCAACAAAAUAAUAAUCACUCUAUCUUGGUUCUGGUUAGCUCAUUAGCAUCUCUGAGACAGCCUGGGAUUUUCACAAAAACUGUACCAAGUGACAAGGAAGUACAAAUGGAAAAUAAAGAGAAACCCAGUUGAGUGAUAUGGUGCAUCUUCCUGGGGCUAUUAUAAUUGGGGCUAUUCCUAAGCUUCCCAAGGCCUGUCCUAGUCCGCUUGUUAUUAAUAAAGCAUAGCAAUGACCACAACCACUGGAAGCCCACGUGUGAAUUAGUAGGUGCCUCCUUUGGGUGGAUAUAGCCAGUUUGGGUUCACUCUUGCCCAUUGCAGCCUGGCACCUCUGUGCAGUGCCCAAACCAUACAACUCUAUGUGAUGCCCUGGCUGCAGUCUAGCCCCAAAGGGCCCCUGCUGUACUCACUAGAGUCAUCAUGCCUCAGUUCUUGACCUGUGCACACCUUGGGCUCUUUAGAGCCCAGCAAUUGUGGAGAGUGAGAGCAUCAGUCCUUGGAAUUUCCUAACCACCUUCCUUCCACUCUUUCUUCUCUCCUUCUCAGCCCCCAGCUUUGUUCCAUUAUGCUCCAUGGUGGGUCAGCAUUGGGGUGAGGCCCCCAAAACACUGCCUUGCAGCGUUACAAGGUAAAUGGAGAAAGAGGCCGAUGCCCUGGUUAUGAGGUCAACCAAACUAAGUUGGUGUGUUAGUCAAAUAUUCUAUGUAACACAUCAGCCCUAAAAGUAGCAGUUUAAAGAGCAGAGAUUUAUUAUCCCACAGUCUCUGUAGUUUAGGAAUCUGAGUGUGUCUUUGCUGGGUAGCCCUGGAUCCGUGUCUCUGGCAAAGCUGUAAUCAAGAGGUCAGCUGCGGCUGCAUUCAUCUCAACACUCAACUGCUUCUAAGCUCACUCUCAUGACUGUUAGCAGAUGUAGGUCCUUGGUGUCUGCAAACCAGAAACAUCCUUCCAUGGCAAUGAGUGGUUUCCCUUAGGAUGAGCAAGGGAUACUGGGCGGCCGUGACAGGAGCCACAGCCCUUUUGUGACCGCAUCUUGGAAGUGAUAUCGCAUCACCUCUACCACACGCUGCUGUAUGGCCAGAAGCAAGUUUCUAAAUCUCACUCAUGCUCCAGGGAAGAGGAUUUCACAAAGGUAUAAAACUUCCCGGAGGCAAGAAUAGUUGGGGACCAUCUUGGGGGCGGCUACCACACUAGGAAUCCUAACCCUUUGUCCCUUGGUAUCUGUGUGAACUUGAAUAAAUAACCGAUCUUUCCGAGCCUUGAUUUCUCCAUCAAUAACAUGGACAGAAUGAAUGGAAAGGACUGGAUAGAUCAUAAAUAGCAGCUAAAAAUAAUCAUGAUGAUGAUACUGAUAAUUUAGUUUUUCUUUCCUUCUUUCCAGAAGGUAGAGGAAGGCCCCCCUGAGCACCUAGUAGACUAGCCAUUUGUGUAGAAGGGUGAACUGGGUGGAGGAGUCUAAUGCUGUUAACAUUCCCCACCCAUUUUCUACCAAGCUGGAGGAGAAGAGAAGCACACUGCCCCAGGAAUACGAACCACCCAGAUAACUGUCGCAUUUAUUUCUGGCUCUCUUGGUGAUUAUUUCCUUUUAAAAGUUUUAAAAACAAAGGAGCAAAUGGAGAGUGGCAUUCUCGGGAGGUGGGGGUGGCACAGAUCCCUGAAGGGAAUAAUCCUUUAGUCACUGGCUUCCCAACAUGACUCAUGGAGCACGUCUCGCUGCCAAGAAGCCCCGACUGCAAACACAUAGCCAUCGGGGAAGGAGACCUUGAGGAGAGUGGGUAUUUUUCCGCAGAGCCUCCCUCCCCAAGAGAGUUUGUGUAAAAGAGCAGCCGCCUUUAACACAACUAAGAAGGCAGCUCUGUGCUCAGCCUCCCUGCCGUUCUCGCAGAAUGCCGUCUGUAACCCAGGUCUCCCUUCGUGGCCCUUCAAAGAGGUCUGUUUCCUGCAAUGCUUUCAUCCAGGCAUUGGCAUCUCUUCCGCGUGGCGAGCAGGAGAGGACUUCCACUGAGGCUCAUGUGUUACAUCCACGGUUUGCUGACCUUCGCAGCAUCACUUCUCCGAGAACAUCGAAGGGGCCGCCUCCUCUAAAAGUCACUGCACUCGAGAUGGGGAUGAUAGACGAGGAGACCAAGGCACAUUGAGGAAAAGCAGCUUGCCACAGAUCACACACUAAUAAAUGCAAAAAGCAUUUGUGAGGAUUUGCCAGGAGCCUUGGCCUCUGGAAGAGGGUACAGCUUGUACUUGCUUGAUUUCGGCCCGAGUGUCUGGCUAGGUUCCUUCUGGACUGGGGUGUAAAGCCAGGAGGAUUUUGGCAUAAGGGCCUUGCAAAGUCGUCAACAUAUGCUGGUCACUCCUGACCAUUUGCAUACUUUGGGCUUCAUGAUGACCUGUCUCCCAAGGCAGGACCUUGAGAGUGAGUUCAGUGACAUCGGACACUGCGCUACUGCCAAACUGGGAGAGAAGGAAUCAAAUGCAGGCAAAGGAAACCUGGGGCUUAGGAUGGUGGUGAAGGUUAAGUCUCCCAUUCUCUAAGGUGGCCCCGUAACCGACGUGUGCUCUGAUGGAAGCGUGGUGGUUUGGUGUAGCGGAUUGGGAUAGAACACCAGACAUUGUAGCCAGUGUGUGACUUUUUUUUUUGGUCUUUUCACCUUUUCUAGGGCCGCACCUGCAGCAUAUGGAGGUUCCUAGGCUAGGGGAUCUAAUCGGAGCUGUAGCCACCAGCCUACACCACAGCCACAGCCACACAGAAUCUGAGCCGCGUCUGCGACCUACACCACAGCUUACGGCAACAAUGCUGGAUCUUUAACCCACUGAGCAAGGCCAGGGAUUGAACCUGCACCCUCAUGGUUCCUAGUCGGAUUCGUUAACCACUGUGCCACGACGAGAACUCCCCACUUAGGGUCUUUAAGCCUUACCACCCUCAUUUGUACAGGGGUUAAUAACAGCUUCCACCUCUUAAGGUUAUGCUGUUAAUUACUUAAGAUAAUGCACACGAUUUGGGCUCAGACAUGCAGGGUGCUACCCACUCCCUGGUGAUUUUUCAGCAUUUCAGUUCCCAGCUCUCUAUCAACCUAUAGCAGAAAGAGGGUGUUGGGCCCGGGGGUCUCCACACAGACCCUUCCUACAGGGCCAUUCUGUGAUACCAGGACCGAGCAGAAGGGAACGAGGGUUCCAUGUAGAUAUUGUGGGGAGCAGGAGUGACUUGCCUUCCUAAGAAGCUUUCAGACCUUCUUCGCAGCAGAGGCUGGUGCUGUCACAGGAGAACAGCACACCCAGAUGAGAAAGGCCAUCCUGUGGCUGAGAGAAGCCGCAGAAACAAGUAGGCUUCAGGACUAUGGGGACGCUUCUGUGAGCUUUCAGCUUUUUCAUGGGAAAACCAUUCCCAAGAUCCAGAAGACUAUUGCACAAAGACUUUAUCACUAUUGGUUUUUCCCGGUUGAAAAGCUGAGAUAUUCAUGAAUGAGAACUCAGCGAGCCUUGGAAAUCCUGGCUGCUAGGUCUAACUCGUUCAUUCACCAAAUGGAUAUGCAGUCCGCUCUGUCCCUAGAACUGUGGGGAUACAGCAGUGAAGUAGCUGUAGUUCCUGCCUUCAAAGAGCUUACGGUCUCGUGGGGAGCAUGUAAGCUGUUCAGUCCCGUGUGAGAUGUGCUUUGUUACUGGAGAGCAGAGAAAAGCAGAAACACCACUGCUAAGAGAUGCUUCUUGCAAAUGUCCCAGAGGUGGUUCUUAAAGAAGACAUUACCCAGGGCAAGAUGGUGAGAUUCCAAGCAGUUGGAAUCUCAAGAACGAAAAUGCAGAAGCAAGAGAGUGUUCGGAUUUAGAGGAGCUGGACAAAGUUCUGUUCGAGCCAAGACUGUGUGUCUUUCUGUGACGUGGGAUGGAUGGUAGAGACACAAAAAGAGGUAGGAGAGGAUGAGGAGAAACAGAGAUGCGGGGAGGUAGGAAGAAAUGACAUCAAAGAGAUAAGCGGGGCCCAGGUCCUGAAAGAUCCUGGAAAGUCACAUUAAAGAGUCUGGACUUCAUCUUGAAGACAAUGGGGGGAGCCACUGAACGCUUUUGAAGACUAUUGAACUUGGCCGGGUACUUUUGGCAGAUGGUUGAACUAGGUGAUUUUGAAGGUCCCUGUAGAUGGAAACCAUCCCACACAGACACUACAGUAUUCUCUUUUCAAUACCACCCAAGGAAAUAAAUUCUUCACUGUUUUAAAA
rnacentral:lncRNA from 1 species